UGGGGAAUAUUGCACAAUGGGCGCAAGCCUGAUGCAGCAACGCCGCGUGAACGAUGAAGGUCUUCGGAUCGUAAAGUUCUGUUGCAGGGGAAGAUAAUGACGGUACCCUGUGAGGAAGCCCCGGCUAACUACGUGCCAGCAGCCGCGGUAAUACGUAGGGGGCUAGCGUUAUCCGGAUUUACUGGGCGUAAAGGGUGCGUAGGUGGUCUUUCAAGUCGGUGGUUAAAGGCUACGGCUCAACCGUAGUUAGCCUCCGAAACUGGAAGACUUGAGUGCAGGAGAGGAAAGUGGAAUUCCCAGUGUAGCGGUGAAAUGCGUAGAUAUUGGGGGGAACACCAGUAGCGAAGGCGGCUUUAUGGACUGCAACUGACACUGAGGCACGAAAGCGUGGGUAGCAAACAGG
rnacentral:rRNA from 1 species